UAAACUACGAUUAGAUACCCUAUUAUUUUAAAUGUCAAAAAUAUGACUUGAGUAGUAAUAGUUAUGUUCUUGAAACUCAAAGAAUUUGGCGGUGUUUUAGUCCUUUCAGAGGAACCUGUCCCAUAAUCGAUAAUCCACGUAAAACCUUACUUAAUUUUGUUUCAGCUUGUAUACCGCCGUCGUCAGAAUGUCCUUUGAAGGCUUUAAUUUUCUUAAAUUUUUAAUAGAAAUGAUGUCAGGUCAAGGUGCAGUUUAUAAUUAAGUGGAGAUGGGUUACAAUAAAUAUAUUUAUAAUGGAAAAUAUCUUGAAAUAGAUAUUGGAAGGUGGAUUUGAUAGUAAUUUAUUUAAUAGAGUAUAAUUGAUUUUGGCUCUAAAACAUGCACACAUCGCCCGUCGCUCUUA
rnacentral:rRNA from 1 species